AGUGAACGCUGGCGGUAGGCCUAACACAUGCAAGUCGAACGGCAGCACAGGAGAGCUUGCUCUCUGGGUGGCGAGUGGCGGACGGGUGAGGAAUACAUCGGAAUCUACUUUUUCGUGGGGGAUAACGUAGGGAAACUUACGCUAAUACCGCAUACGACCUACGGGUGAAAGCAGGGGAUCUUCGGACCUUGGGCGAUUGAAUGAGCCGAUGUCGGAUUAGCUAGUUGGCGGGGUAAAGGCCCGCCAAGGCGACGAUCCGUAGCUGGUCUGAGAGGAUGAUCAGCCACACUGGAACUGAGACACGGUCCAGACUCCUACGGGAGGCAGCAGUGGGGAAUAUUGGACAAUGGGCGCAAGCCUGAUCCAGCCAUACCGCGUGGGUGAAGAAGGCCUUCGGGUUGUAAAGCCCUUUUGUUGGGAAAGAAAUCCAGCUGGUUAAUACCCGGUUGGGAUGACGGUACCCAAAGAAUAAGCACCGGCUAACUUCGUGCCAGCAGCCGCCGUAA
rnacentral:rRNA from 1 species